AUCCACCACCUCGUGCAAUGCCGC
rnacentral:siRNA from 1 species